rnacentral:lncRNA from 1 species
GUUUUGUGCAAAUAUCUGCUGAGUGAACUACUUAUUUGAAAAGACAUCAUUGGUUAAUAUUCCCUUUUGCUCAUUGAAAUCUCAAAGACUACAGGUGUGGUGCAAUUCCAUUAGAUGAAAGAGAUCUACACAUUCAGAAGCACAUGAUUCUUCCCCCUUCCAUGAUUCCAGUGGCCAAUAGGUAAUCAGAACUUCUCUGUUCAGCUAAAAGACAGAAAAAGAGCAUAUGAAAGACGUAUUUUCCCAGAAGUGCUC